rnacentral:rRNA from 1 species
ACGCUGGCGGCAGGCCUAACACAUGCAAGUCGAGCGGUAGCACAGGAGAGCUUGCUCUCUGGGUGACGAGCGGCGGACGGGUGAGUAAUGUCUGGGAAACUGCCUGAUGGAGGGGGAUAACUACUGGAAACGGUAGCUAAUACCGCAUGACCUCGCAAGAGCAAAGUGGGGGACCUUCGGGCCUCACGCCAUCGGAUGUGCCCAGAUGGGAUUAGCUAGUAGGUGGGGUAAUGGCUCACCUAGGCGACGAUCCCUAGCUGGUCUGAGAGGAUGACCAGCCACACUGGAACAGAGACACGGUCCAGACUCCUACGGGAGGCAGCAGUGGGGAAUAUUGCACAAUGGGCGCAAGCCUGAUGCAGCCAUGCCGCGUGUGUGAAGAAGGCCUUAGGGUUGUAAAGCACUUUCAGCGAGGAGGAAGGCGUUGCAGUUAAUAGCUGCAGCGAUUGACGUUACUCGCAGAAGAAGCACCGGCUAACUCCGUGCCAGCAGCCGCGGUAAUACGGAGGGUGCAAGCGUUAAUCGGAAUUACUGGGCGUAAAGCGCACGCAGGCGGUUUGUUAAGUCAGAUGUGAAAUCCCCGAGCUUAACUUGGGAACUGCAUUUGAAACUGGCAAGCUAGAGUCUUGUAGAGGGGGGUAGAAUUCCAGGUGUUGCGGUGAAAUGCGUAGAGAUCUGGAGGAAUACCGGUGGCGAAGGCGGCCCCCUGGACAAAGACUGACGCUCAGGUGCGAAAGCGUGGGGAGCAAAC